CAACGAAUUCGCGGGCGUUCUGUAGCUGUACGUGAAGACCCCCUGCAACACCCCAGACACGAACAGAUAACAGAGUACUUUAAUUAAGAACAACACAAACUUUAUUACCUAAAUAUAUAAAAUAAUUAAUACAAUAUUUAAUAAUUAAUAUUUAAUAAUUGAAAUGUACAUCGAAGUUGAAAAGUUAUACUUGUUUCACGUCGUAAAUUGUUAAUUGUACCGGUACUUAGUUUUUGAAGUGGUGAAUAUAUCAGGAUACUUGGUGUAUGCGAUACACGAUUCAGGACCUUCUGGAUUGGUAAUGGUUUCCCUGUAAAUAAAGAUACCAAGCCCAAGAGGAGUUAUCUCCCUUUAGUGCCCAAAUUCGGUAGCAGACCACCUUAUUUAUUUUCCUCAAUUCCCUGCAGAAUUUCCACUUGAAAACUUUCUGCUAAUAACAAUCGCAAUGACUUAUUUAUCAUUGAUAAUCAGGUUUAUAUCUGGUGCACCGGAUUAGGUUCAAAACACCAGAUCCGGUUCCAUGCACCCAGCUCACACAGGCAAGCACCAGAUCAGGUUUUGUAGCACCAAUGACUGGUUGAAAUACCACUUACGGUUCUACAGGCAGAUCAGAUAUAAUCAAUUAUAUUUCAAUGUUUUAUAUGUUGAUAUGGCAUUACACCGUGGCUAAAAAGAGCAACACAGGUGUAUAAAUAAAAGGAGUUAAAGGCAAACGUUAACUCACAGUUAGACUGGGAGGUCGAAGGACAAACAAAGUCAAUGCACGGUAAUAUAUCGGUAAACACCGAAAUUAUUAUAAAGAAGCUUAAUUAGGCUCCCCAACAGGCACAGGUUAAACAACCUACUAUAAUAUAAUUAAUCCCUUACCAGAGAAGGUGUGUUGCAGAUCACCUGCGCCAUGAUCAAUAUCUAGGCCUAUAUAGGCUAACAAUUAAAAAACACGUCUAAACACAAUGAGUUGCGAAGGCCAACUAACUGAAACGCUUCGUACAGCGCGCCAUAUUACGUCACUAAAUUUUGACGUCAUAUUACCCCCAACGUUGUAUCACGUGACCAACAGUCUUCGAUAGUCAAUUUGACAGACUUGCUCGUUGGUGUUCUGAUCGACAAUGCGGUGGGACUGAAAGGAUAAAUAUAUUUAUUUAUGCGCAGAUAUUAAUACUCGGGUUUGCUACCAUAUCCAGUCGGCUCCUUGGUUCACGGCACUCAAUUUAUACGGAGCUAUGGGGGAUUUUCGGCGACAUGCAGCCGGUGAAGAAAACGGCGUGGAACAAAAUGGUGCAGUCCAUUUGUGACGCGGGGAGAACAGGUUCGUAAAGGUGUGCCAAAGACUAAAUCAACAGGAAGAGUUAUCUCUCUUCCGUACAUCAUUUUGUUUGGGGUUACUCCAGUUGAUUCAUGAAUGGAUGAACGAUAAGCCAUCAUUAUCAUAGGAAGGAAUAUCAACAUCAUUUAGGAUAUACUCAGAGCCAUUCGAUUGGUCCGGUGGAAAAGAGGUAGAAGGCAUGUUAAUGCUAUCAGUAGUUCCAAUGCCAACCAUUCUGACUGAUGCAGAUGGAAUCGGAUCUCCUUCUUUGUCAGUGAAUCAUUCAGAUUUGGUGUACUUCUAUCAAGGACUUCCGUGACAUGAUCAGAUUGUACAUUAGAAGUGGACAAUCGCUGCAGAUGUCUUGUUAAGAGCUGCAUAUCUUGUCGCAGACCUAGCACAGCAUCGUUUAAUUUGGUUUGUUCAUGACCUUGACCAGACAGAUUUUGAUCCUUCGGUUGCCCAACUGCAUGGACCCGAUGUGUCCUCUGUCGGUCUGCCAUUCUAAAAGCCUCCAAUUGUACAGCUAACAGCUCAGCUUCGCCUAUAUCCUUGACUCUGGCUUCACGAAGUCGGAGCCUCAUAUCGGUAUCUGGCAAAGCGUCUAUGAAAUAAUCUCUAGCAAGGGUUGACACCACGCUGCUGGGUGCUUCCGGGUAGGCUUGUCUUGAAAGCUUCUUGAUUGACUGAGCAAGAUCAGAUAUACUUUCAUUUCUUUGCUUAGUUCUAGUCUGAAGGGUGGCCUUAAAUAUUUCAGACCUAUUGGUUGAGCCAAAUCUAAGGUUUAAUAUCUGAACCAGACUAUCAUAGUCCCUCCUUUUCUCAUGGGAUAAUUCAUUUAGCAGGGACCUCGCACUUCCGUCAAGGCUACUGGCUAGAUAAAGGGACUUAGUCUUAUAAUCCCAGCGAUUUAAUUCGGAUAAAACUUCAAACUGAGCAAGAUAAUCUUCCAGCUCCUCAGUGCCAUUGUAACUUGGUGGUCUCAUUUUGGUGGAGGCUGAUGUAUGAUUAUUUGGAGUACUCUCCCUUGAAUAGCUAAAUCCCUCUGUGGGUACAUCUGGACAUGUCGAAUAACUACUGCCAGGUUGUGUGCAUAACCUUGUUGUAGGGGUUCUACCAUAACUAUUAUUUAUAUCAUUACAUUGUUUUUUUAGGGCAGGUAUUGGAGCAUCACAGGUUUGGCGCAAGGUUUCCAAAUCAUUCACCUUGGAACUAACCGUUUCAAUAGCUAAAGUCAUAUGUGAUAGAGAGUUUUCAGUUACUCUAUUAUAAUUUGUCAAGAUAUUUUCAGUCAUUUUUAUUAUUCUCUUUUCUAGGUUCCCCUGACUUCUAAAAAUUGAAGCUUCUAUUCGUUUCUCCAUAGAUUGGAGGGCAUCAGCUUCAGACAAAGUGUCAUCAACAGUCUCAUUCACAACAGUGAAGUCAGGGUCCUCCAUACUAGAACCACUUGAGGCAAUACUAUCAUUUAAAUUCUGAGGACAAGGCACAGAUUGCUCUUUAAACGUAAUCUCGGAAUCGCUCAUGUCUGAUAUAGGGUUCACCAACUACAGAACUUCAAUGGAUCCCACUUCUGACACCAAUUGUUACGCUACCAACCCUCCGGCUGGCAACCAACGAAUUCGCGGGCGUUCUGUAGCUGUACGUGAAGACCCCCUGCAACACCCCAGACACGAACAGAUAACAGAGUACUUUAAUUAAGAACAACACAAACUUUAUUACCUAAAUAUAUAAAAUAAUUAAUACAAUAUUUAAUAAUUAAUAUUUAAUAAUUGAAAUGUACAUCGAAGUUGAAAAGUUAUACUUGUUUCACGUCGUAAAUUGUUAAUUGUACCGGUACUUAGUUUUUGAAGUGGUGAAUAUAUCAGGAUACUUAGUGUAUGCGAUACACGAUUCAGGACCUUCUGGAUUGGUAAUGGUUUCCCUGUAAAUAAAGAUACCAAGCCCAAGAGGAGUUAUCUCCCUUUAGUGCCCAAAUUCGGUAGCAGACCACCUUAUUUAUUUUCCUCAAUUCCCUGCAGAAUUUCCACUUGAAAACUUUCUGCUAAUAACAAUCGCAAUGACUUAUUUAUCAUUGAUAAUCAGGUUUAUAUCUGGUGCACCGGAUUAGGUUCAAAACACCAGAUCCGGUUCCAUGCACCCAGCUCACACAGGCAAGCACCAGAUCAGGUUUUGUAGCACCAAUGACUGGUUGAAAUACCACUUACGGUUCUACAGGCAGAUCAGAUAUAAUCAAUUAUAUUUCAAUGUUUUAUAUGUUGAUAUGGCAUUACACCGUGGCUAAAAAGAGCAACACAGGUGUAUAAAUAAAAGGUGUUAAAGGCAAACGUUAACUCACAGUUAGACUGGGAGGUCGAAGGACAAACAAAGUCAAUGCACGGUAAUAUCGGUAAACACCGAAAUUAUUAUAAAGAAGCUUAAUUAGGCUCCCCAACAGGCACAGGUUAAACAACCUACUAUAAUAUAAUUAAUCCCUUACCAGAGAAGGUGUGUUGCAGAUCACCUGCGCCAUGAUCAAUAUCUAGGCCUAUAUAGGCUAACAAUUAAAAAACACGUCUAAACACAAUGAGUUGCGAAGGCCAACUAACUGAAACGCUUCGUACAGCGCGCCAUAUUACGUCACUAAAUUUUGACGUCAUAUUACCCCCAACGUUGUAUCACGUGACCAACAGUCUUCGAUAGUCAAUUUGACAGACUUGCUCGUUGGUGUUCUGAUCGACAAUGCGGUGGGACUGAAAGGAUAAAUAUAUUUAUUUAUGCGCAGAUAUUAAUACUCGGGUUUGCUACCAUAUCCAGUCGGCUCCUUGGUUCACGGCACUCAAUUUAUACGGAGCUAUGGGGGAUUUUCGGCUACAUGCAGCCGGUGAAGAAAACGGCGUGGAACAAAAUGGUGCAGUCCAUUUGUGACGCGGGGAGAACAGGUUCGUAAAGGUAAACAAACAAGUGAUCCCAUUAACAAAGAAAAGUCAUGUUGAUACGAAUACUUUAUAACAGAAUAACAUGGGUAUGUUCCCAGCAAAACAAUAAAUAAUCUAAUAGUAUAGCGAAUCAAUAUACAUAUAAUUUAGGUGUGUUCCCGGACCGUAACAAUAUAUAUAUAUAUAUACGUAAAAUAAAGUAAAUGAGUCCAUUCUAGAUAAUUAUUUUAUU